CAGGACGUCGCGACUGGCGUUGAGGUGGUUCACCACCGGGGAGCGAACGACACGGCAUUCGACCGCUCGCCUGGGCCGAUGCG
rnacentral:ncRNA from 1 species